AUGCAAGGGAGGCUGUCCCCAAGGAACAGAGCCCCUGGACGUUGCUAAAGGUGGCUGGCAGGAGGAACAGCUGGUUUAUAAACGUUCCGGUAAGGGAUGAACGCGUACUCUUCUGCAUGAUUCCGGAGCCUGCGAUCCUAAAUGCCACAAUGACUAUUAAACAGUGUCCUGCCCAUGAGCAAACAGGAGGGAGCCGAGAUCAACCUAAUUCUGCCUGAGCGUUGGCCACUCCAUGGAAAAAAAAAGCUUCAGCGCUGUGCUCAUCCAAUCAGAGACUACCUUGCCCC